rnacentral:rRNA from 1 species
AACGAACGCUGGCGGCAUGCCUAACACAUGCAAGUCGAACGAGACCUUCGGGUCUAGUGGCGCACGGGUGCGUAACGCGUGGGAAUCUGCCCUAGGGUGCGGAAUAACUCGGAGAAAUCCGUGCUAAUACCGCAUAAUGUCUUCGGACCAAAGAUUUAUCGCCCUGGGAUGAGCCCGCGUAGGAUUAGCUAGUUGGUGGGGUAAAGGCCUACCAAGGCGACGAUCCUUAGCUGGUCUGAGAGGAUGAUCAGCCACACUGGGACUGAGACACGGCCCAGACUCCUACGGGAGGCAGCAGUGGGGAAUAUUGGACAAUGGGCGAAAGCCUGAUCCAGCAAUGCCGCGUGAGUGAUGAAGGCCCUAGGGUUGUAAAGCUCUUUUACCCGGGAUGAUAAUGACAGUACCGGGAGAAUAAGCUCCGGCUAACUCCGUG